GAGAUGAAAUGUGGUAGGUCUACAUGACUGUAGACAAAGGAAGGCCGGACAAGAUAUGAGAUGCAAGAGUAACUCCACUUGCCUCUUUCUCCCUCUUCUCUUUGUAAUCUUUCUAGGCCCGGCCUUAGGGUAAGACCGGACGAUGUCCAGGCUGAAUUCGAGGGCAUCUUCCUCAGGCCAGACAGCUUCGUCAGGCCCGGCAGCUCGUCCAGGUACAUCCAUCCCUGCCGAAGGACACAUUUAAAAAAUACACUUUUAAAUAAAAAAAUGUUUCUAUACCCACCCUUCUGAUCCUUGUUAAGUACCCUGAUGUGAGAGUUGUAGCCUGGUGGUCUAGCAGCUUCUCUGCCAUCCACUAACCUAUGGACUUUUUUUUAUGAACUUUGACUUAUGGGACUAAUUACUUAUGUAUUAUGAACUCUGUUUAAUCCUCUGUUGCUUCUGAUGAACUGUUCCUACCUGAAGUGGCACCUGGAAAAGCGCUGACCUCGUCACCUGAAGCCUGGGGAGGAGGACGGUCUGUGGAAUAGGAUCCGGUGAAGUCCUUUUCCUCAAACGCGGAGGGUUUAAAAGGCCAGAUCCCUGGACUAGAGAACCCGGAGGUGAUGCUCUUCACUGUUGCAGCCUCAGGUAAGGCUACAGCAACGAUGGAGGGCACAUCUUAAAUCGAGAUGUUAAUCCCUUGGUGGCUCCUCAACCACCUGUCCGCCGCACUGUUUACGUACCCCUUUAGGGGGCCGAAGACACUAAUGUCCAUUGGCUGCAACCUGCGGGUGCAGUGGGAGGGGACUCCUUGGACACGGGUGUGACUGGUGAAGUUGGCCAGGUACAGGAGGAAGUCUGGCUCCUUCAUCCAGCCAGUUGGGUUGGCGUUGCCAGCACAGCCAACGGGUCCACCCCUCAGGAAGUGGUCUUCGAACCGCUUACGGGGGGAGAUAAAGAAUGGCGGAACAAGGUCGCCCUGCGCAUUGCCUGCCAGGGCAACUGUGACCAGGGUCCCCCUCUCCGCUGAGGUCACUGACCCGAUCUGCUUCUGCCCCAUCUGGGCGACGACACGGUCUGGCACCUGGACAGUGGUGACCCCUGUAAAUAGUUGUCUGGACAACCGUUAGUGGCCUCUUGGCUAGUGGCCUCUGGACGCCGAAGGGGGAGGCUGCUACUGCGCUCCAUGAAGGAGGUGAACCAGUCCUUCCCCGUCAUGCUCUUCCUCGACCAGGAUGCAGGGAAUGGGCAGCUGAAAUGCACGGGAUCGUAAAAAGUUGAUGUACAUUUGUGUAUUUAUGUUUGUUAUUUGUUCAUAUUUAUUAAUUAAACUAUGAAACCGUCACCUUAUGGAACCGUCACCUUAUCGUGGUGGAGAGGUUUGCGUGUCCCUGUGAACCUGAGAGCUGUGUUGUUUGGAGCCUUG
rnacentral:lncRNA from 1 species